rnacentral:lncRNA from 10 species
ACUCGCUCUCCGUCCCGGCCGCCCAGCGGUUCCCCUUUCCGUGGCCUGGGCAGGCGCUGAGGCACAGGGAGCCGCACGUUCCCGAGGCACAGGGAGCCGCACGUUCCCGAGGCACAGGGAGCCGCACGUUCCCGGGGAAGGUGCCAGAGGCCAGCUGGACGGCCCCGGCGCACUCCCGCCCCGGCGCACUCCCGCCCCGGCGCACUCCGACCCCGGCGCACUCCCGCCCCGGCGCACCCUGCUCCCCGGCGCGUACCCAGGGGCCACGAUUUUGGCUGGGCGAAAGCGGCCCGCUCCCGCCUCUCCUUGAGUGCGCUGAUUACAUCUACCGGAGACACCUUCCCUUCCCUUGGGGAUCCCAACUCUCAGCUCUUCAGAAAGCAAUGACAAGGCAUCUGACUCAUCCUCCUGCACCUCUUUUCAAUUACUGACUUAAACCAGGUGAUCUAGAAACUCCAGUCCCUCUUCUUCCUGCCGAUCGCUGCAGCAACCUACUGAGCCGGCCAGAGAACCUUUGCCUUCAUAGUUAUACGAACAAACGUAGUCUUCACAAUGUUUAUGCUCCUCAUCUUGUCCACACAAAUACACCUUCUGUAUCAAAAAAGAGCACAUUUUAUUAUUUUUUAAAAAACACCUAAACAUAUUAGCAGAAAAAUGAUGUCUUUGAUUUACCUUUUACUGUUUAAUUUUUAAUCAGAGUGUGUCCUCUAAUGGAUUCCUAUAUAUAAAAAAUGCACAGGAUUGGUCUGUAUUAUAGUCACUCUUAAAAUAUAGCAAAUAAAUAAAUGCUUCUAGUGAGCACAUUUAAAAAAUUAAGACUACGCAUAUAUCACGCAACACAUUUAUAAUUUCCCAUUUGAACACAAAACAUGUAUAUUUGAAAUUUACCUUUGUAGCUUCUUCACGUAUUUGAGGAAAACCAAUAUAGGCUAUGAUUCCUAUGUUUAUACACUACUAUAUAACUGUGAUAGUGUAAUAUAUUAAACUGGCUAAUAUCAAACCUAUACUGAUUAAUCUGAACAUAAAACAAAACAAGGAACUAAAACUCAAAAUAAAAGCUCAACAAUUUAUCUGGUUGAUUUUGAUAGCCAGGACUUCAUAACCACACAAAGAACUCAAGCACACUGAGAAAUGUUUAUAAUUUAUGAUCCAUUCAUUCCUGUAUAAUAAAUAUUUCACUCCAGCUGGUUUUCCUGUUAAUUUCUAGGGAAGAGGCUAUGAACCUUUUAUCCUUUGUAAACACAUCUACAUAUGGCACUCCUAGAUAAAGUUUUGUAAACUGUAUUUUCAAAGGUGAAUUUUCAAAGAUCAUUUUUAUCUUUGGGUUUAAACCAGACAUCCACAUCUAUGAUAAUCCAACAGGUAAAAGAUGUUGAAUUCCAGGUAUAUGAGGAGUAAAACUUUUGGGAAAUUCUGAUUUAUAACUAGCAUUUAACUUCCAUGUAAUAUGACCUCAAAGACAGUGGAACUUACUUCGCCAAGCCGAGGUUGGGUGAAACUCUGCCAGUCCGUGUACGCAUAUCUGCCAGUAUCUCCCUGCCCCACUCCCUUGACGGACUCCAAGGUCUGAUGUCCACCUCCUUUGUUGGAAUCCAAAGUGUAGCCUCCUUUGACCAUCUCAAAACUUUGCUGUGUUUUGAUUCCCUGGCCACCAACAGUACCAACAGACAUGCUUGUGUCACAAAUGUUGGAUGUCUGCAUGGGGAGUCUAAUAUUUGCUUCCUAAAAGUAAAGUGAGAGUGAUAAAGUGAAUUUGAAAAAUGGAAACUAACAAUUCAUUUUCAUUUUUUUUCACCAUAGGCAAAUCACUUGCCUGCUGUGCCUCUCUGUUCCUCAUACAUAAAAUCAGAAUAAUAGUAUCAUAGGUGUGAUGGGUUGAAUUGAGUCCCCUAAAAAUUCAUAUGCCCUAACCCUCAGUAACUCAGAAUGUGAACUUAUUUGGAAAUAGGGUCAUUGUAGAUGUAAUUAGCUAAGAUGAGGUUAUAUGGGAUUAGAGUGGGUCCCUAAGCGAAUAUAAUCAGUAUCCUUAUAAAAAGGGGAAAUUUGGACACAGACAUGCACACAUGGAGAAUCGCCAUAUGAAGAUUUGAUUUCCACUGCCAUAAGCCAGGGAAUUGGCAGAAGCUAGGAGAGAGUCCUGGAACAGAUCCCUCCCCAGUUCCUUCAGAGGGAGCACGGACCUGCCAACACCUUGAUCUCUGAUUUCUAGUCUCCAGAUCUGUGAAACAAUACUUGUCUGUUGUUUAAGUCACUCAGUUUGUUGUGACAGCCCUAGCCCUGUAGAAUUGGGAGGUUUAAAUGAUUUAAAACACUG